rnacentral:rRNA from 1 species
UACGUAGGGUGCAAGCGUUAAUCGGAAUUACUGGGCGUAAAGCGUGCGCAGGCGGUUGUGUAAGACAGAUGUGAAAUCCCCGGGCUUAACCUGGGAACUGCAUUUGUGACUGCAUGGCUGGAGUGCGGCAGAGGGGGAUGGAAUUCCGCGUGUAGCAGUGAAAUGCGUAGAGAUGCGGAGGAACACCGAUGGCGAAGGCAGCCCCCUGGGCCAACACUGACGCUCAGGCACGAAAGCGUGGGGAGCAAACAGG